CGGGGUGAGUAACACGUGGGUAACCUGCCCGGAAGUGGGGAAUACCUCGGGGAAACGUCGAGCUAAUACCGCAUAACAUCUUUAGGACGAUGGUCCUGACGAUCAAAGCGGGGUCGCAAGAUCUCGCGCUACCGGAUGGGCCCGCGCCUGAUUAGCUAGUUGGUGGGGUAACGGCUCACCAAGGCUUCGAUCAGUAACCGGCCUGAGAGGGCGAUCGGUCACACCGGAACUGAGACACGGUCCGG
rnacentral:rRNA from 1 species